UUCCUUUGUUGGUUUUUAAUU
rnacentral:piRNA from 1 species